rnacentral:rRNA from 1 species
GUGGGGAAUAUUGCACAAUGGGCGAAAGCCUGAUGCAGCGACGCCGCGUGAGGGAUGAAGGCCUUCGGGUUGUAAACCUCUUUCAGCAGGGAAGAAGCGAAAGUGACGGUACCUGCAGAAGAAGCACCGGCUAACUACGUGCCAGCAGCCGCGGUAAUACGUAGGGUGCAAGCGUUGUCCGGAAUUAUUGGGCGUAAAGAGCUUGUAGGCGGUUUGUCGCGUCUGCUGUGAAAUUUCGGGGCUCAACCCCGAACUUGCAGUGGGUACGGGCAGACUAGAGUGUGGUAGGGGAGACUGGAAUUCCUGGUGUAGCGGUGAAAUGCGCAGAUAUCAGGAGGAACACCGAUGGCGAAGGCAGGUCUCUGGGCCAUAACUGACGCUGAGAAGCGAAAGCAUGGGGAGCGAACAGGAUUAGAAACCCGUGUAGUCC